GAUGAACGCUGGCGGCGUGCCUAAUACAUGCGAGUCGAGCGAACGGAUGAGAAGCUUGCUUCUCUGAUGUUAGCGGCGGACGGGUGAGUAACACGUGGAUAACCUACCUAUAAGACUGGGAUAACUUCGGGAAACCGGGGCUAAUACCGGAUAAUAUUUUGAACCGCAUGGUUCAAAAGUGAAAGACGGUAUUGCUGUCACUUAUAGAUGGACCCGCGCUGCAUUAGCUAGUGGGUAAGGUAACGGCUUAGCAAGGCAAGGAUGCAUAGCCGACCUGAGAGGGUGAUCGGCCACACUGGAACUGAGACACGGUCCAGACUCCUACGGGAGGACGCAGUAGGGAAUCUUCCGCAAUGGGCGAAAGCCUGACGGAGCAACGCCGCGUGAGUGAUGAAGGUCUUCGGAUCGUAAAACUCUGUUAUUAGGGAAGAACAUAUGUGUAAGUAACUGUGCACAUCUUGACGGUACCUAAUCAGAAAGCCACGGCUAACUACGUG
rnacentral:rRNA from 1 species